rnacentral:rRNA from 1 species
AUUGAACGCUGGCGGCAGGCCUAACACAUGCAAGUCGAACGGUAACAGGAAGAAGCUUGCUUCUUUGCUGACGCGUGGCGGACGGGUGAGUAAUGUCUGGGAAACUGCCUGAUGGAGGGGGAUAACUACUGGAAACGGUAGCUAAUACCGCAUAACGUCGCAAGACCAAAGAGGGGGACCUUCGGGCCUCUUGCCAUCGGAUGUGCCCAGAUGGGAUUAGCUAGUAGGUGGGGUAACGGCUCACCUAGGCGACGAUCCCUAGCUGGUCUGAGAGGAUGACCAGCCACACUGGAACUGAGACUCGGUCCAGACUCCUACGGGAGGCAGCAGUGGGGAAUAUUGCACAAUGGGCGAAAGCCUGAUGCAGCCAUGCCGCGUGUAUGAAGAAGGCCUUCGGGUUGUAAAGUACUUUCAGCGGGGAGGAAGGGAGUAAAGUUAAUACCUUUGCUCAUUGACGUUACCCGCAGAAGAAGCACCGGCUAACUCCGUG